UACGGGGGGGGCAAGCGUUGUUCGGAUUUACUGGGCGUAAAGGGCUCGUAGGUGGACAACUAAGUCAGACGUGAAAUCCCUCGGCUUAACCGGGGAACUGCGUCUGAUACUGGAUGGCUUGAGUUUUGGAGAGGGACGCGGAAUUCCAGGUGUAGCGGUGAAAUGCGUAGAUAUCUGGAGGAAUACCGGUUGCGAAGGCGGCAUCCUGGACCGACAUUGACGCUGAGGAGCGAAAGCUAGGGGAGCAAACGGG
rnacentral:rRNA from 1 species